GUUACCAAUAUGAACACUUGGAAGUUCAUCAUCAUCGUCUAAAGUACUAGUAACUAGCGAGAUGGCCCGUGCAAAUAGCGUGGGUAGCUAGGUCUAUGCUAAUAUUUCAAUCUCGAGGUUUUGCCGGCUUAGUCUUCGAGGAUACUCAUAGGGGUUGGGUUUGCGUACGUGUAUUCAUAGGGGUGUGAGUGUGCGUGCGUUAUGAGUGUCUUAGUUGUACUGUGUAAUCUCAAAAAAUAAAUAAAUUAUUUUUUACUCUAAAAUAAAUUUAUGUAAAAAAUUUUGUUUAGUUGUGUCGUUGUAAUUUUUUUUCUAAUAUGCCAGAUCAACGCAUUGUCCAUGCUUUAUCCAUCAUAUUUUUAUUAUUUAUGAGGUGUAUUCAUGUGUAAUAUGAAUUCAUGAGUAAAGAUAUUUUCUUAUAUAGAUAAUAUUUUUAUUAUUUAUUAAAAGUAAUAUAUAAAUUGAAGCCUUUUCAUAUAUUAUUUAUAUAUAGUUAAUCUUUUAAUUUUUGAUUGUGGUGUACUUUUUUGUUUGACAGUUCGAAGUGACAGAUAUUCUUGAAUAUUUUUUUUGAAGAAACUCUAUUUGAGUGAUGUAAUGUAUUCUACUAUAGAUCAUUGGAUAAUAAGUUUUGAAGUUUGAAUUCAAAUCUUAAUAGGUCGUAGAGGCUGCAUCCCCUUUAUUAAUUCUGAUCAUGCCAAAUCUCCCUUUCUUUCUUUGUUCUACAAUCUCCAAAUACUUCAUCUUCAUGCAUACUACAUUUAUCUCCCUGCUGCUGCAUCUUUUCCGGGUCAACAAAUUCACUAUUGUGCAAGCAAUUCAAGUUAUAGCUUCUCUCUGUGCUCAUCAAAUGCCCUGUUGACUUCUAAUCUCAAGGAGCCCUGCCCACGACACCAUGAUUAACGUGGGAAUUUCUAGACUCUCUCGGCGAACGUGGUGGCUUCUUUUAACACUGUCAAGCCUCCUGGCAAGCUUCACGACACUUGCCCAAGCAUCAUUAUGAGCCCCUUUGGAUGUCGGUUCCUCUGGUAGCCUUCAUGACGAGCUUCACGAUAGUGAUGACAGUGUUUUGCAGCUUAUUUGUGGAUUCAUCCAGGUUUGCGCUUCUGUGAUGUGUGGAGGUGUUCAUGUGUGUCUGGCCAUUUGACCGGGUAUGUAAUUGGCUCCUCUUUGAGGUGCCUUAAUAUAAGACCGCGGCUUCUAUAAUAUAUGUUAUAGGUUUA